rnacentral:rRNA from 1 species
UACAGAGGUGGCAAGCGUUGUUCGGAAUUACUGGGCGUAAAGGGCGCGUAGGCGGCCUUCUAAGUCAGGCGUGAAAUCCCCCGGCUUAACCUGGGAACUGCGUCUGAUACUGGAGGGCUUGAGUGCGGGAGAGGGAUGUGGAAUUCCAGGUGUAGCGGUGAAAUGCGUAGAUAUCUGGAGGAACACCGGUGGCGAAGGCGGCAUCCUGGACCGACACUGACGCUGAGGCGCGAAAGCUAGGGUAGCAAACGGG